GAUGAACGCUGGCGGCGUGCCUAAUACAUGCAAGUCGAGCGAACAGACGAGGAGCUUGCUCCUCUGACGUUAGCGGCGGACGGGUGAGUAACACGUGUAUAACCUACCUAUAAGACUGGGAUAACUUCGGGAAACCGGAGCUAAUACCGGAUAAUAUAUUGAACCGCAUGGUUCAAUAGUGAAAGACGGUUUUGCUGUCACUUAUAGAUGGAUCCGCGCCGCAUUAGCUAGUUGGUAAGGUAACGGCUUACCAAGGCGACGAUGCGUAGCCGACCUGAGAGGCGGAUCGGCCACACUGGAACUGAGACACGGUCCAGACUCCUACGGGAGGCAGCAGAAGGGAAUCUUCCGCAAUGGGCGAGAGCCUGACGGAGCAACGCCGCGUGAGUGAUGAAGGUCUUCGGAUCGUAAAGCUCUGUUAUUAGGGAAGAACAAAUGUGUAAGUAACUAUGCACGUCUUGACGGUACCUAAUCAGAAAGCCACGGCUAACUACGUG
rnacentral:rRNA from 1 species